rnacentral:rRNA from 1 species
GAUGAACGCUGGCGGCGUGCCUAAUACAUGCAAGUCGAGCGAAUGGAUUAAGAGCUUGCUCUUAUGAAGUUAGCGGCGGACGGGUGAGUAACACGUGGGUAACCUGCCCAUAAGACUGGGAUAACUCCGGGAAACCGGGGCUAAUACCAGAUAACAUUUUGAACCGCAUGGUUCGAAAUUGAAAGGCGGCUUCGGCUGUCACUUAUGGAUGGACCCGCGUCGCAUUAGCUAGUUGGGGAGGUAACGGCUCGCCAAGGCAACGAUGCGUAGCCGACCUGAGAGGGUGAUCGGCCACACUGGGACUGAGACACGGCCCAGACUCCUACGGGAGGCAGCAGUAGGGAAUCUUCCGCAAUGGACGAAAGUCUGACGGAGCAACGCCGCGUGAGUGAUGAAGGCUUUCGGGUCGUAAAACUCUGUUGUUAGGGAAGAACAAGUGCUAGUUGAAUAAGCUGGCACCUUGACGGUACCUAACCAGGAAGCCACGGCUAACUACGUGCCAGCCGCCGCAGUAA